rnacentral:rRNA from 1 species
AUUGAACGCUGGCGGCAUGCCUUACACAUGCAAGUCGAACGGUAACAGGUCUUCGGUUGCUGACGAGUGGCGAACGGGUGAGUAAUACAUCGGAACGUGCCUAGUAGUGGGGGAUAACUACUCGGAAGAGUGGCUAAUACCGCAUGAGAUCUACGGAUGAAAGCAGGGGAUCGCAAGACCUUGUGCUACUAGAGCGGCCGAUGGCAGAUUAGGUAGUUGGUGGGAUAAAAGCUUACCAAGCCGACGAUCUGUAGCUGGUCUGAGAGGACGGCCACACUGGGACUGAGACACGGCCCAGACUCCUACGGGAGGCAGCAGUGGGGAAUUGUUCGCAAUGGGCGCAAGCCUGACGACGCAACGCCGCGUGGAGGAUGAAGAUUUUCGGAUCGUAAACUCCUGUCGAAUGGGACGAAUGACCUGGCCGUGAACAACGGCCGGGAAUGACGGUACCGUGAGAGGAAGCCCCGGCUAACUCCGUGCCAGCAGCCGCCGCCGUAA